rnacentral:rRNA from 1 species
ACGAGCGCAACCCCUNUCCUUAGUUGCCACCAGGUAAUGCUGAGCACUCUAGGGAGACUGCCCGGGUUAACCGGGAGGAAGGUGGGGACGACGUCAAGUCAUCAUGGCCCUUACGCCUGGGGCUACACACGUNCUACAAUGGUGCNUACAAAGGGUUGCGAAACCGUGAGGUGGAGCUAAUCCCAUAAAGUGCAUCCCAGUCCGGAUNGGAGUCUGCAACUCGACUCCUUGAAGUCGGAAUCGCUAGUAAUCCCGGAUCAGCAUGCCGGGGUGAAUGCGUUCCCGGGCCUUGNACACACCGCCCGU